CUGCUUUGUGCCCCUCAGUCGAAUUCUUCCUUCUUAGGAGGCAAGAAUUGACGUUGCUGCAGACCUGGACGGAUACUUCCGCCAGUAACUCGGUGUAACUCCGGUCUCUUCCCCCGUAAUAGGUGGAGUCACAAAAGGAGAGGCUGCAGGACCAGACCAGAGUCCCCUGUGACCUUACGUCUCCUCUCCCCCUUUACCACGUCUAUGUCUCUCCUUUCCCAAGGAAAAAUUCAAACAGUGCAUUAAUUUUUCAGACUCUGGCCUUGCAGCCUGUUUCUUCAUCUGAAAAAAAGAAGGAAAAAUAAUACCAAACUCAGAAAGACUUCAUGAGGAUCGAGUCUGUUUGAAUUGCUUUUCAUCACACCUUCUAAAUAUGGGGAACUGCGACAUGAAGAAGUUAACUUACCUAAGAUCAGAGAAUGAGUCAAGGACAGAACAGGACCAUGUCAUCAAAUUUAGAGAAACUUGAACUAUGCAGAAAAGAGAUGGGAUUCUUCUGUGGCUGUGCUGCUCACUCAAGGGAGUCUGAACCAUUUUGACCAGGAAAAGCCAAAAGGAAAGGCCUCUGCCAAGGUCAGACCACACAUUGCCUGAAGUCAUUGUUCUCCAUUCCAGCCCCAAGAACUCUGCGAG